UGUCCUAUCCAACUACGACAACAUUAAUAACAACAACAAUAAAACAAGGGCAACAAAAGGGAAUAAAUAAAUAUUUUUAAAAAUUGAUACUGUAAUUAGAGAAAGCCAAGCUGAGUCCUAGGAGGAAAAUAAUCAUCUCUCCUCUUAAUAUAUGUGUAUAUAUGCAGAUAUAUUAUCAAUGAGAAACUACUCUUAAAUGUUUUCUCCUUUUAAAAUGGUACAUUUCACCUUAUAAUUUUUUUUUUUUUAAGAUAGAAACAGGCAGAGAGAGAGUGAAAGGGACCACAUCAUGGAAGCUUCCUUCAGUGUGGUAGGGGCCCGACUCAAACCUGGUUCCUGCACAAGGCAAAGCAGCACAUAAUCCAUUUAGAAGGAGAAAGAAACAGAAGGAGAAGGGGAGGCACCACAGCAUCACUCCCAUCUUUCAUGAAACUUCCCAACUGCAGUUGCUUCCAUGUGUUGACCUGGGGCUUGAACCCAGGUCCUCAUGCAUGGCAAUGUAUGUACUUUACUGGGUAAGCUACCUGCCGACCCCAAAUUUUACUUUUAAUUACUCAUCAAAGAUAGUAAGUAGUCUAGGUUUCUACAAUGCUGAUUAAAACUCAAGAAUCUUUUCCUCCAAAGGCAUGUAAGUUAGAAAUUUGAAUUAAGUAAAGACAAGCAAUGUAAUAUGAAGAGUUGUGAUUUACCAAUGAAAAUCCUUUUUGAACUGUCAGAUAAAAAACAUUGUGACAAAAUUUAAUGUUUUAUCUAUGUUAGUGUCUCUAUAAAGCAAAGAUGUUCUUCAGGGCAGACACUGAAUUAAAAUUUAAUUCCUUUUAAAGAAAGGUGGUAAUUAGAAAGUGCCUUUUCAGAAGAUGGUGCUGUAGAUUUUUAUUUUUCAAAUAGCAUGAGGGUAAAAAUGUAAGAUAAAUUAUUUUAAGAACUGCAAGAGUAUGAUAGUUUAAUAUAAACAAUGUUAUUUGUUGUUCUGAAUCUGAUCUGGGGAAACCAAGUCAAGCUUUCCUUCAGUAAAGUAUCUAGGUAAAUGCUCACCGAAUGUAUUUUGUAAGUAUGGAAACAAAAUUUGUGUCCCUUUCAGAUCUCAGCUGUAUAAAAGGUCAUCAAUCCACAAGGGACAUAAAACAGCAAGUAUGAUUCACUGUGUAACAAGUGUCUGGGUAUCCAGACACAGCAGGUAUCCAGAGGAAAAGUAACAUACAGAAGUUUUAUGUCUUUUUUUCCCCCAACAUAAAAUUACUCUUUUGUAAACAUCUAUUGGCAGUCCUUUCUAAUUAAUAUACUAUAGACUACUCUAUAAAGGAACUCAGAUUUAGGAGAAAAAGUAAAAGGAGUAUGUCUGUCUUUGACACCAGUGAAUAUUUUAAAUGAUUCCUUCUUUUUCUAAGAUGGGGGAAACUGGGAAAUGAUGGCAAUGAGCCUAAGAGGUAUGGCCAGUUAAUUGAAAAUAGAACAUGCAAAACUGGACUUUGGAGGAAAAAAACAAAAGGAAGGAUAAUAGCAGGAUGUUACAUACUUAUUAGAAAUUUAGUAAUGUACCAGGAAGCAGUUUUCCCCUGGAAAGUUUUUACUUGUAAAUUUGGUGAGUGUUCUGCCAGAAAAGAGGAAACUAAAAAGAAAAAAACACACCUCAGUAACCUUGUAUGCUGCAUUAUGUAAUAAUAAUAGUAAAAUUAUAUUGAUUGUUUCAAGUAUACCAUGUCUGUUUGCAAGUAUACACGCACAUUAAACUUUUUCAUUUUUAUAACAUCCUAAUAGUAAUUAAGAAUUUAUUUUUAAUGUUAAUUUUUCUAUGUGAUCUUUAUAUUUAUUGGCAAUUUUUGUGCAACUUUUAUAUUUUGCUUAGAUGUUGGUGUUAAGUAUUUUAUCUUUGUAGAUAUUUAUAGCUUUUCCUCCUUCUUUGUAAUGUUAGCAAACAUUAAGAUGGAAUGUUAACGUAUCAACCAAACUACUUUUUUUUUUUUAACCAAACUACUAAUUCCAUCAAGUCUAGAGUUUGGAUUUAUACCAAUAAACCAUCAACUCUAUUUUAUAACUUAGAA